CAGAUACCACUUUAUGAGGAAAUUCAGGUCCCCAGACUGUUCAGGUAAGCCACAUGUGUCUGCUUUCAGGAAGACUUGUAAAAUGUUAAAGCUGAGAGAGGUCAUAGAAGACGAAACAUCAGCACAAAGAAUACCAGAGCAGGAAGGCCCCUCAGGAUAUACAACACAGAAGAACUCAAGACAAAUGAGAUGUAGAGGACAGAUUUCAGAAGGAAGACUCUAAGGCGAAAGCGAAUGGGAAAGCUGAAGGUGGGACUUGGAGGAGUCCAAAGAAGCUAGGAGUCCUCUGAGGAGGGAAAGAAGUGGGGGAAGAAAAUGACCCCAGUCAGGAAAUGGAGUAUCUUCUUGGAGGAAAAGCCUCAAGAGCCACAUCACUGGAUCAGAGAGAGGAUACGAAGAACUGGGGGAUGUGAUUGCUGAGCUCUUGCCAGAGAACUUAGAAACAUCAUAAAAGCAGGAGAAGUCCUCUAGGACUGAAGAAGGGCAAAUGCUCUGAUUUCCAAAGGAAAGAGUAUGAAAUUUGUUAAUCCCAGACCAGGGAGCUUGCUUUCUAUUCUUGGCACAUUCUAGGUUAUACCAUUAAAGGAAUUAUGGCUAGUGAUGAUCUAGAAAAGGAAA